AUUGAACGCUGGCGGCAUGCCUUACACAUGCAAGUCGAACGGUAACGGGCCUUCGGGUGCCGACGAGUGGCGAAAGGGUGAGUAAUGUAUCGGAACGUACCUUUCAGUGGGGGAUAACGUAGCGAAAGUUACGCUAAUACCGCAUAUUCUGUGAGCAGGAAAGCAGGGGAUCGCAAGACCUUGCGCUGAUUGAGCGGCCGGUAACAGAUGAGCUAGUUGGUGAGGUAAAAGCUCACCAAGGCGACGAUCUGUAGCGGGUCUGAGAGGAUGAUCCGCCACACUGGAACUGAGACGCGGUCCAGACUCCUACGGGAGGCAGCAGUGGGGAAUUUUGGACAAUGGGCGCAACCCUGAUCCAGCCAUGCCGCGUGAGUGAAGAAGGCCUUCGGGUUGUAAAGCUCUUUCGGACGGGAAGAAAUCGUAUCAGCUAAUACCUGGUGCCGAUGACGGUACCGGCAUAAGAAGCACCGGCUAACUACGUGCCAGCCGCCGCGGUAACAC
rnacentral:rRNA from 1 species